AACGAACGCUGGCGGCAGGCUUAACACAUGCAAGUCGAACGGACGUAGCAAUACGUUAGUGGCGCACGGGAGAGUAACACGUGGGAACGUACCUUUUGGUUCGGAAUAACGUCGGGAAACUGACGCGAAUACCGGAUAAGCCUUAUGGUGGAAAGAUUUAUUGCCAAAAGAUGGGCCCGCGCUAGAUUAGCUUGUUGGUGAGGUAAUGGCUCACUAAGGCUACGGUCUAUAGCUGGUCUGAGAGGAGGAUCAGCCUCACGGGGACUGAGACACGGCCCAGACUCCUGCGUGAGGCAGCGGUGGGGAAUAUUGGACAAUGGGGGAAACCCUGAGCCUGCCAUGCCGCGUGAGUGAUGGUGGCCUUCGGGUUGUAAAGCUCUUUUGGAGAUGACGAUGAUGACGGUACCCUGAGAAUACGCUCCGGCUAACUUCGUGCCAGCCGCCGCAGUAA
rnacentral:rRNA from 1 species